UAGACAUUACACAAUUAGAGAAAAAUUUACAGCCUACAUUAGAUAUACUACAAACAAGAGAAACUGAAAAUCAGUGAAAUAAUUUUACAACUAAAAACAGUGGAAAAGAAACAACAAAUUAAAUCUGAAGAAAGGAGGCAUUAGUGAAGAUAAAACUAGAAAGUAAUGGUCAAAAUAAAAUAUUGGAUGAAUGAGCACAACUUUCCCCUUGAACAGGCGUGGCUUAGUUACUUUUCUCAUUGCUGAGACAAAAUACCCGAUGCCCACAAGUUAAGGGAGGACAGGUUCAUUUAGCUCACAGUGUGUGGAGGUUUCCGUCCAUAGUCGGUUGGCUCCAAGGCAGGGGGGCCUGGCAGAGGAGGAGCAGCUCAGAGAAGCAAGGGCCCUCAGCAGCUGCUUUCUGCCACCUUUAUAGUCUUUCUUGGGUACUGGGAUCAGGGCAGGUGCACAACCAAUCAGGACUGAUUUAGUAAUCACACACCCUUAAUCCUAGCAUUGCACCAUGAAUCAGUCACACACCUUAGAUCCAGCCACCUCUGAAAAAGCUCCAUCUCUGACCACUUGAGGCUUGUGGGGACAGCUAGACACAGCCAUAACAAGGCUGGUAAAUAGAUAAAAAGUUGGCAAGCCUGAUCGAGAACAAAAGUGGAAACUUAGAAGACAAGGGAUGUAGUUCCAGGAACAGAGAAUAUUUUAAAACUAUAAAAGAAUGAUAUUGUGUGGCAAUAUUAUUCAAACAUCUAUGUGAAAUGGGUGCUUUCUAGAGAAAUAUUAGAGUUGCCUCUAAAAAAGAUACCAGGCCCCGAUGGUUUUAUGGGAGGAUUCCCUAAGCCUCAAAGGCACAGAUAAUUCCCAUGUGAAGGGAAUCAUGUUCCCAGCAUGCUCUAUGAGUGGUGUAUGCUGAUAUUAAAACAACGCAAGGAUAGGAUAAGCAAGGAAAAUGGUAAUUUCACUCUGUAAUUCAAUACAUUAGGAAAUAGAUUUAUGAAUUUAAUAUAUGACAUAAUGUUUAAUAUUUAACUCAUGUUUAUGCAUAAACGUAAGAGCAAGAAUCAAGCUAUGACAAAGCCGGGGAACUACAGUCACCAUCUCACAUCAGGAGCUGGGAUCACAGAGACCUGCAGAGCUGCCUGCGGGGAGGAGGGCAGCCACAGGUGUCACACAGAGAGGCCCCUGGAGCCCCUGCAGCUUGACUCUGCCCACGAGCCAACAGGGAGAUGCUUCUUCUUAUCACCCUCAUUGCUCUGACUGUGGCUGGAGUCCCAGCCCCACCUCUGCCCUCUCACCUCUCUGGGAGCAGGCGAGAGAUCAUCUGCCCAAGAGAGGACGCCUUUCCAGGGAGGAGCGCACCGAGGGGGCCCUGCCAGCCCCUGGGGUCCUCACCUUGCCUUCUUCAAGCAGGGACAGGACGGCCUUGAAGGAGGGAGGUCAGAAGCAGCCUUCUUUUUCCUCUGGGGGAAGUGUGGAGGGGCCGGGUGGUGUAGACAGAAGAGCAUCGGACUGGAGCUGCUGGCAGCCAGGCUGCAGGGGGCAGCAGCCAAGGGGGACACUGCAUGAGCUAGCCCAGGCCAGGGGAGAGAGCAGGAGGAGCAGGAAGAGGAGGAGACAGAUGCUUGAUGGGGAAGAGAGGCCAGUUUCUGCCUCCUGUCUCAGGUCAGCUGCAUCUCAUCUGCAGUGGGAGGGUGGGUGUCCCUGCUCUGAGGGCUUGGGACAAGGUGGUGGUGCCUGGCAGGAGGUCCCUGGGGGUGUGUCCUAAAGGGACAGGGGGAUCCUGGGUGCUCAUUUUCCUCUCUCUUUGCUUCCUGGCUGUUGUGAGGUGAGCUGUCCCUUCCACCGUGAACUCCCACCACCACGUUCUGCCUUGCCAAGAGCCCAACGGCAAGAGCCAGUGACCAUGGACUGAGCCCUCUGAACCCAUGAUCCAAGC
rnacentral:lncRNA from 1 species